GUAGGGGGCAAGCGUUAUCCGGAUUUACUGGGUGUAAAGGGAGCGUAGACGGCAGCGCAAGUCUGGAGUGAAAUGCCGGGGCUCAACCCCGGAACUGCUUUGGAAACUGUGCAGCUAGAGUGCGGGGGAGGCAAGCGGAAUUCCUAGUGUAGCGGUGAAAUGCGUAGAUAUUAGGAGGAACACCAGUGGCGAAGGCGGCUUGCUGGACCGUAACUGACGUUGAGGCUCGAAAGCGUGGGGAGCAAA
rnacentral:rRNA from 1 species